rnacentral:lncRNA from 1 species
UAAGAGAUCAGCCCAUUCUUGCAGUCUUCAAGCCCAAUUGAAAAUUCACAGCAACAGGCCCAUCCAGUUCAGCUUAUUCAAUUGAAUUGAAGCCCAAAUUUUCCAGCACUUGAAGCCCAAAUCAGUGAGGUCCAGCAGCCCGCUUUGCAAGCCCAGUCCAAGAGCAAGCCCAUUCCAGUGCAAGAACAAAUCUCAAUUGGGCUGAGAUUUGUUAGGCCAAGCUUAAGGCCCGGUCCAAGUCCGCCGGUGUCGUCGAAAGUUCAAUUUCGGCCGCCGUCGCGUUGCCGUUGCGGUGAUUCGAUCUCCGUUUUUAAUCAAGUGAGUUUUACUCACUAAUGCUUUAUUAGUUUGCUAAUUAUGCUUAAGGUUGGUUAGAUUUAAUUAAGUGCACUUAGGUGGUUAGAUUAGGUUAGAACAAUUAGUUUAGUGACUUAAUGAUGCAUGUUAGGUGGUUAGACCUAGCUAUUAGCAAGUAGAAAUGUUUGGUUAUUUAUUGAAUGCAUCUCGGGAUUUUUCCCGACCCGUUUCGGGCUCCAAUAAGGCAAUAUAGGCCUAAAUUGGAUUUUUAAUGUUUAUUUAUUUAUUUUCGAAAUUUAUUUAUUUAAUUAAUUAUUUUUCCGGAAAUUCAACCGGGAUGGCCGGUGACCGGAAUUUCGUGCCGAUUGUCGUGGUGCAGACCGUUUAUUUAUUUGAGCUCUAUGUUGUGUGGAAUUGAAUUUAUUGUGGAAUUUUAGGAAUUGUCCUAAAUUGUUUGUUAUUGAAUAUUUGAUUGGUAAAGGGCCAAGCAUGGGUAUAUAGCGCCAGUACGUUGAUGGGCUAUAUAGUAGGGAGAAUGGUGAGACCAAUUAGGUACAAUAUUAUUGGACAUACGUGGUUCGGUGAUUGGAAGUAUCACUGGCGAAAACGGCGCCUUAAAGAACGCACGUGAAUGACUUAUAGACAAACGUGGUUCGGUGAUUAUGGGAAUAUCACUGGUGAAAACGGCGCCUUAAAGAACGCACGAUGUUGUCUAUAGCCGAUGUCACCUUGGCGAAAACGACGCCCUUAAAAGGACACGUGGUUCGGUGAUCAAGGUUAUCACUGGUGAAAACGGCGCCUUAAAGAACGCACGGUGUCGGUGAUCGGUAUGUCAUUGGCGAAAACGACGCCCGAGAAACACAUGUGAUUUGGUGAAUGAGUACACCACUGAGAAAGUGUGGUAUGAGUGGGAAUGACCUAGAAAGGGUCUGGCUGACAUGUAAUCGACUUAGUCGAUUGAUCAAUGCUUGAUCGGAUGUCGUGAAUUGUUUGAAUAUCUGUGUUUAACCUUGAAUUGCAGGUUGGAACUGAGGCCAAGGUAAGUCCUUUGACUCGUGUUGUGCUUAGGCAACCGUAUGGCGUAUUAGUUUAUUAAUCGGGUCUUAGUGGGUAGGACUCGCUGAGACGUGGUCUCAUUGGUUAUUGAAUAACCAUUUCAGGACCCUGAGGAGGAGCUAAGGAAGAGGAACCUGAAGGGGAGAAAGUAUUUUGAAGUAGAAGAUGAUCCAGAGAGGGAUCUUGAAAAUAACCCAGAUGUGGAUUGGGAUCCCAUC